rnacentral:rRNA from 1 species
GUGAGGAAUUUUCCGCAAUGGGCGAAAGCCUGACGGAGCAAUGCCGCGUGAAGGAUGAAGGCCUAUGGGUUGUAAACUUCUUUUCUCAGAAAAGAAUUAUGACGGUAUCUGAGGAAUAAGCAUCGGCUAACUCUGUGCCAGCAGCCGCGGUAAGACAGAGGAUGCAAGCGUUAUCCGGAAUGAUUGGGCGUAAAGCGUCUGUAGGUUGUUUAAAAAGUAUUCUGUCAAAGAUUAGGGCUUAACCCUAGAUAGGCAGAAUAAACUUUUAAGCUAGAGUUUGGUAGAGGCAGAGGGAAUUCCCGGUGGAGCGGUGAAAUGCGUAGAUAUCGGGAGGAACACCAAAGGCGAAGGCACUCUGCUGGGCCAAUACUAACACUGAGAGACGAAAGCGAGGGGAGCAAACAGGAUUAGAUACCCUUGUAGUCC